GGCCCUUGGGAUUGUAGGUCAUCGCGUUCUUGAAGGUCAACCUCACGUCGGAAGCAAAAUCGAACGGUGAUUCAUAUGCAUCUUUGCUCAACUUGGCUUUCACGGAUCCUAAAUCCAUAGGACGCUUGACGAUGUCAUAGUAAUCGUGAAGGCCCAUCCCAACCACAUCGACCGGCUUGUUGAAGAUCCAGCCAUGUUUGUGCUUCAUGAGUUUUGUCAAAAUCUGCGAGCAAGUCUUCAUCAGAUUUCCGUUUUCUGAAUUAGACCG
rnacentral:misc_RNA from 1 species